GAAUAUGAAAUGCAUUGAACAGAAAUGCGCUUGUUUAUUCCAUCAAAUUCCAUCAAUGAUAAAUUUUAAUAGAAUUUUCAAUAAAAUAAAUCUCUCGACUUGUUUUGGUGUACAGUUAAGAUAUUUUCAUCUUUCAAAAUGGCGGAAGAGGAACACCGACUGUUGGACGAUCUUUGUUGUGCUGGUUUAGGCAGGGAUUUUAUUCAAACAUUGAGUGAUUGUGGAAUCGGUUUGAAAGAACUGUGUUCUUUAACAUUGGCUCAGCUGACGGGUCUGCUCGAUUUUCUGGGGGAUCUUAAUUUUUUGCUGUCAGCUCCCUUCGUUUCAAAACUAAAACCUAGUUGAUUGCUGGUAUUCAGCUUAGUUUUCGCAAAUGAUGCGAUGGACAAAUAUUUAUCAGCGAUCGCUGUGAGGCGGGCCGAAUGAAAGGUCAAGUUCGCCGAGAAAUCUAUCGCCACUUUCGCCUUGGAAAACAGUUAAACCGAUACUUUUCGUAAAUGGUUUCGAAAUUUAUUAAGUAAGGAUAAAAUGAACGAUUCAACUUUGCAAUUAUCGUCGAAGUUUUUUUCCGGAAGUUUCAGUGCAAAUUAUUAUUGUCGGUUCUGCAAACGUAGUAAAGAGUAUUUGAGCAUAGAUGAGCACGAAAUCACAUAGUACUUAAGAAAUAGAACAAAUUUUUUGAACGACAUCGAACUAGUCAACCAAUCGGAAACAGGAAUUAGAGGAUUAAGUAUUCUGAACAAGUUACCAUCGUUUUGUUCUGUUGAAAACUUGAGUGUAGACUUUAUGCACGGUCUUUUUAGUUCGGGCGUCUGCAAUACGGCCUGAUAAACAUAAUUAAUUAUUGUAUCUAUUAUAAAAAAAUUUACAAAGCUUAAUACGAUAAACACGCGAAUAAAAAUGGUUAGUUCAAAAGAUUUGAAUGAAGCUUUAACGAGAAUGCCACAAUUAGAAGAAACCACAAUAUCGGCUUCAAAGAGAAAAACUUUUUCUUUAAAAUGCACUGCGAGUGAGAUGAAAUCUUUUCUCUAUUUACUAUCUUUUGUGCUAGGGCCUUUUUUUCUAUAGAUGACCCAGUUUGGGAAUACUCAAGAACAUUGAUUGAAAUGGUUGAUUUAAUUUUGUUUCCUAAAUUCAGUUAUGAGCAGAUCGAAGAAUUAGCUUCAAUAAUUUCUAAACACCACAAACUUUAUAAACAACUGUUCAAAGAUCCAUUAAAACCAAAGCAUCACUUUCUUGUGCAUUAUCCUUCAAUAAUUCAAAAUAACGGUCCUGUCGUAAACAUGAUGUGCUUCCGGUUUGAGGCUAAACACAGAAAGUUCAAGCAGUAUGCAAACAUAAUUUCGUCCCGUGAAAACAUCUGUCUAACGUUGUCAACCAAAGCGUGUCUACAAUUUUCUUUUGAUGUAGCAACAAAAUCAUUUUUCAAACCUGAUGUUGAAUUUCAUGGUAGAUCGUCCACGUUAUUUGAUCGAUCCUAUUUUGAUAAAGUUGUUUCUCCUCUUCCAUUAAACAUACACGAAAAUUUAUUGAUUACUUUCAGUUUUAAGUUCAACAAUUUAUUUUUGUUUCAAAUCAGGUUCAUUUCUCACAAUAACUUCUAUUGGAAUAACUGAGCUGUAUCAAAUCAUAGAGCUGAUUGUAGUGAACCAUGAUGUUUAUGUUGUUGGCCAACUCUGGCAAUGUGGACAAUUUAAUGAACAUUUUCAAGCUCAAGAAGCACUUCAUCCUCUUGUAAAAAUAAUCGACUUUUAAGAAUUUGAUGGUCCUCCAGUUACGUACGAAAUUCAAAAUAAUUAUUAUUUUAUAAUUAAAAACAGCUUCAGUCAACUAGAAUUAAAUUUAAUUUGUGAUGUAAAAUUUAUGUCAGGUAGAAUAAGAACAAAAUUUGUGAUUCGAAAUUCCAUGUAGUCAGGUAUAGCAUAAGAAUAUAAUUUUGUGAUGAGAAAUUUCAUGUUGUCAGAUAAAAUAAGA